CGGGGCGGGGCGAGCGCAGGCCCGGGGGGAGCUGGGCGAGGCGGAGCAGGGCUGCCCGGGGGGCCAAGUGGGGCAAUAUGCCCCAGGCCCCACAGGUUCCCCGCCGCCUCUGCCUUCCCCCAUCGCCUCAGCGCGCCGCGUCCAGGAUCGGCCCUGGACAGACCUAAAGUGGCCUGGCUCCGGCAGAGCCUGAGUGCCCUUCCCUGGGAGCUGCGUGGCAAGGGGGCGCGGCCUGAGCCCCCCCUGCUAGGAGCCGGGUGGUAAGGGGGCGGGGCCUGAGCGCCCCUCGCUGGGAGCUGGGUGGUAAGGGGGCAGGGCCUGAGCGCCUCCUGCUGGGAGCCGCGGGGGCGGGGCUGCGGGCCAGGCCCCUGCAUGCUGUACAGGGCUGCUCUUGGACGCUGCUGAGGCUCCGGGAGGCGGGGGACAGAAGCGACUUUGUCUGUACAAAGUGCAAGCUGGUCUCCAUAUUGGAAGAGAAGGUUCGAGGUCUGGAGAAACAAGUAUCGACCCUGCAUUGCAUAAGAGAAAAUGAAGAUUUCCUGGACAGACGUCAGGAUAUGCUUCUACGGGCACAACAUACUGAAGAAUCGGAGCAGGCUGUGCAGAGAGGAGAGAGGGACGGUGAAGAAAUUUGUCAGCAUGUGACCUCCAGAAGAAGAAAGAGGAGUGUCCAUUUACCAGCAAUGGAGAUACAGAUGAGCAACCGUUUUCAUGUUCUUUCCACAGGUACUAAUGCAGAGAGUGGACUAGAUGGUACAUCUGAGAGAAGGGAGCAGAAGGAGACUCCACCGAUUGGAAGGCAUGAGAUGCACUGUCCUAGGGAUGGGGUUUCCAUGACCACCGCUCCCAAGAGAAGGAGGAGGGUGGUGGUG